CAUACAAAAAACCAAACAAAAUGUCACAUCUUCCUACGUACCCCUGACUGCUAUUGCCGUACACCUGACCAUGAAAGAGAAUAAUUCAGUAAAACAUACUACUAUGUGUAAGAACACACUUAGGGAUGAUAUAAGAGGAUUAAUAGUCUGAUUAUAAUUCACAAGUCAAACAAAAUAUAUACCUGAUCAGUCCAAUACAUGUAAUAAAACACACUUAGCCCAUUCCUCGUGAACUUCAUCAAUUUCAACUUGAGAAUAAGCUACAUUCGUAAACUGUAAAUAAAAAAUAGUGAUCAAAUGUAGUUUAUUAAGAAUGUUACAUUAAAAUAUGAGUAUAUAUUUAUAAGCACAAACAUGAGAAAUCUCUUCUUCUCUAUCAUGAACAAAUUUAAAUUUCAAACUACUAGUUUUUAUGAUGGAAGCUGAGCUUAAUCACCUGCCUUUAACGGCAUAAACACCAAAACAGAACACAAAACAGAACCCUUCAUCAUAGAAUUCAUGGCUGUUUUUGUGUGGUUUCAAGUAGAUUGGGCAAAACACUACGAAAAUGCAAAGGUUAUGGAGAUGGGGAUGAAGUUUUACAAGCAAGAGGAGUUUAUCAUGCCUUUAAUCAGAUAAAUCUACCAAAACAAGAACCAAUCAGCAAUAUAACACCAAUUCUAUUCAAUAAAUGCAAUAUAGUAACAGACACAAAAAAGAAGGCAUAUCAAAGGGAGAACCGCACAAAAGUUUUCAUAUUCCAGAUGCUACUCUAAUUAAGAGAAUCAUGAGCUCAGUAUGGCUCAUAU
rnacentral:lncRNA from 1 species